rnacentral:rRNA from 1 species
UACAGAGGGUGCAAGCGUUAAUCGGAAUUACUGGGCGUAAAGCGCGCGUAGGUGGUUUGUUAAGUUGAAUGUGAAAUCCCCGGGCUCAACCUGGGAACUGCAUCCAAAACUGGCAAGCUAGAGUAUGGUAGAGGGUAGUGGAAUUUCCUGUGUAGCGGUGAAAUGCGUAGAUAUAGGAAGGAACACCAGUGGCGAAGGCGACUACCUGGACUGAUACUGACACUGAGGUG